rnacentral:rRNA from 1 species
UACAGAGGUCUCAAGCGUUGUUCGGAUUCAUUGGGCGUAAAGGGUGUGUAGGUGGCGCGCUAAGUCGGGUGUGAAAUUUCGGAGCUUAACUCCGAAACUGCAUUCGAUACUGGCGUGCUUGAGGACUGGAGAGGAGACUGGAAUUUACGGUGUAGCAGUGAAAUGCGUAGAUAUCGUAAGGAACACCAGUGGCGAAGGCGGCUCUCUGGACAGUUCCUGACACUGAGACACGAAGGCCAGGGGAGCAAACGGG